UGAGUACGAGCUGCUACGGCAGCGAAGUGGGUGACGUCAAGCUUCCAAGAAAAGCCCUACACCCGUUAAGGCAUGAUGGCCUGUACCCGAAACCGACACAGGUGGGGUGGUAGAGAAUACCGAGGGGCGCGAGGUAACUCUCUCUAAGGAACUCGGCAAAAUGGCCCCGUAACUUCGGGAGAAGGGGUGCCACCGCAAGGUGGUCGCAGUGAAGAGGCCCAGGCGACUGUUUACCAAAAACACAGGUCUCCGCUAAGUCGCAAGACGGUGUAUGGGGGCUGACGCCUGCCCAGUGCCGGAAGGUUAAGGAAGCUGGUCAGCGCAAGCGAAGCUGGCGACUGAAGCCCCGGUGAACGGCGGCCGUAACUAUAACGGUCUUAAGGUAGCGAAAUUCCUUGUCGGGUAAGUUCCGACCCGCACGAAAGGCGUAACGAUCUGGGCGCUGUCUCGGAGAGAGGCUCGGCGAAAUAGAAUUGUCUGUGAAGAUGCGGACUACGUGCACCCGGACAGAAAGACCCUAUGAAGCUUUACUGUAGCUUGGUAUUGUGCCCGGGCUCUGAAUGCGCAGGAUAGGUGGGAGGCUUUGAUCCAUUGCUUGUGGGUGAUGGUGAGCCAACGGUGAGAUACCACUCUUUCAGAGCUAGGGUUCUAACGGUCACCCGUUAUCCGGGGACCGGACAGUAUCAGGUGGGCAGUUUGUCUGGGGCGGUCGCCUCCUAAAAGGUAACGGAGGCGCGCAAAGGUUCCCUCAGGCUGGUUGGAAAUCAGCCGAUGAGUGUAAAGGCAGAAGGGAGCUUGACUGUGAGACCUACAAGUCGAACAGGGACGAAAGUCGGCCUUAGUGAUCCGACGGUUCUGAGUGGAAGGGCCGUCGCUCAACGGAUAAAAGUUACCCUAGGAUAACAGGCUGAUCUCCCCCAAGAGUUCACAUCGACGGGGAGGUUUGGCACCUCGAUGUCGGCUCAUCGCAACCUGGGGCUGAAGUCGGUCCCAAGGGUUGGGCUGUUCGCCCAUUAAAGCGGUACGCGAGCUGGGUUCAGAACGUCGUGAGACAGUUCGGUCCAUAUCCGGUGCAUGCGCAGGAAUAUUGAGAGGAUUUCUCCCUAGUACGAGAGGACCGGGAGGAACGCACCUCUGGUGUACCAGUUAUCGUGCCAACGGUAAACGCUGGGUAGCCAUGUGCGGAGUGGAUAACCGCUGAAAGCAUCUAAGUGGGAAGCCCACCUCAAGAUGAGUAUUCCCAUGGCGUUAGCCAGUAAGGUCACGGGCAGAACACCCGUUGAUAGGCUCUACGUGGAAGCCGGGUAACCGGUGAAGCGGAGGAGUACUAAUAGACCGAGGGCUUG
rnacentral:rRNA from 1 species